CAAGCAUUGUACCCUGAAAAUGCAGAACUGUUUUACCAAAACUUUAAUCCUGUAUAAUGUAUAUGAUACGCUCAUGAAAAUAAGGAAAAGUUUCCUAACACAACAUGACCUUUUGUUAUUGGAUAUAGCUAAUAACUCUAACACUAAUGAAGAAUAUAAGCUAUACACUAAAAUUAAUCUACUAGCGUCACUAAUUCCCUGCAAGUCAAAAAAGAUUUCAAAAAGAAAACAGUGGAAACCAACUUUAGAAGAAAUACGAAGUUCAAUUUUAAUUCGAAUUGAGACUUCACAAGAUAUUGAAGGUGUGAUUGCAAGCACUACCGAAAGAAAU